rnacentral:rRNA from 1 species
AUACGGAGGAUCCGAGCGUUAUCCGGAUUUAUUGGGUUUAAAGGGUGCGUAGGCGGACUGGUAAGUCAGUGGUGAAAUGCUGCAGCUCAACUGUAGAAUUGCCAUUGAUACUGUCAGUCUUGAGUACAGAUGAGGUAGGCGGAAUGUGGUGUGUAGCGGUGAAAUGCUUAGAUAUACCACAGAACACCGAUUGCGAAGGCAGCUUACUAAACUGACACUGACGCUGAAGCACGAAAGCGUGGGUAUCAAACAGGAUUAGAUACCCUGGUAGUCCACGCUGUAAACGAUGAUUACUGGUUGUUUGCGAUAUAGAGCAAGUGACUGAGCGAAAGCAUUAAGUAAUCCACCCGGGGAGUACGUCGGCAACGAUGAA